CUGGGGGCGAUUGACUCCCUGCUGUCACCUGUAGUAUCUGCUGACUGACUUUUUUUUUUGUGUGUGUUACAACUCAGUCAAUAAACACACUGUUUACAAAUACAAUUAUGACAGAUUUACUUGUCUUUUUAUUUGUUGAACUUUAAAAGAGACUGUAUGACAAUAAAUCAAAAUGAAUUUAAGGGAGAAAGUGCUUGCAUUCAAUUUAUUUAUUUCUCAGGGAAUGUCACGUGUGAAGCAACCCAGCGUAAGGUCCCCUACACCGACUGUACAAGUUAAGAAGAUUUUAAAUUAGCUAAAUGUACAAGAGAUUAACAAUGAAUGUCGUAAAAAAAAUUAACAAAGAACAUAUUUACAAAAACUACUUUACAAUGUACACACCAGUCAGUCAAGAGUUUACUGGCCUUGGCUAGCACCAUGCUGGGUCCUCAUGAGUGCCAGCCACUCCUCCACAGUUUGGCCACCAGAGGUAGAGGCACAGAACCUCACAGAACCAUACAUACUGUGUCCAAACUCAGAAGUUUUAGGCUUGCCACAUUUAGAGCACUUAUAGUCUUCAUAUGGCUUGUGCGCUCUGACUUUUAUGCCAGACUCCAGCUUCUUCCUCCUCCUCCAUUCGGUGGUCCUGGAGACCUUGGGUCCACCAGCAGGAGGGGGAAGAGGAGUGGAGGUCGAGGGCAGGUCUUGGAAGACUGGCGUUAUAGGGAGGGAGGUGGAAGACAGACUGGGUGGAGGUGGCAGUGGCUGACUAGUGGCCAAGAGGACCACGUGCUGGUAUCCACUAACCCCAUCAGGUCCUAUGUUCUCCUGGAAAUAGAAGAGUCAUGGGGAAGGGUUGGAUUAAUAGUCACAUUAAUAGUUAUGAAUGGAAAGAAACUUGAGUGAGCUGUUUAGGACGUGGAUAGGCACUUACGUCAUCCUCUGGGUCCUGACUGGCAGCUGGUGCAGUGUCAUCAGGGGGUGUGACGACAGGUACCUGGGAUGGGUUGGGUUUAUUGGGCGGUGGAGUGGCCUUCCUGAGUGGAGGGACUGGUGGGAGACGGUCAUCGAGGUCGGCAAGGACAUGGUGGGGUCAUCCUCCUCUCCCUCAAAUAGAGUAGGUGUCCCGUCUGGGACAUCUGGGUCCUUACUGAGGUUGGACUCCCAACAUCUGGUCACCAUGGGUCUGGGAGAAGAGAUACUCGACCCCAAUGAGUUCCCCUUAAACAGAGAGACAACAAAAAAACUAGUUGUACAUAAACAGAACUGCACAUGUUUUAGUGUGUGUAUAAUUGUAUAAUUUAGAAAUACAUACCAGUGUACUUUGCAGGCCUUGUGUGAUCCUUCACAAGACUGCAGCCCAGGAGCUUCUGGCUCAGCUCAUUGAUGGCGUGCUGGGCUACAACAUCAUAGCAGUGCAGGGUCUGCUUCUGCCCCCCCGCUGUAGCUUCGGCACGGUCCUCAUUCCACCCAACCAACCCUUCAAGGAGGUAGGCCUGAAAGCAAUAGAUGAUGACAACAAGAAAUAAUAACUCCUCCCAUGCACACAGUUGUUAACACACAACAUGACGUAACAACAUGACCCAGUUUUACAUUUAACACCAGGAAUGAAUCGGUUGAGGUGGAACGACUCCAGGGAGGUGGACCCACGAGCGCAACACAGGCAGGAUGACCCCUCCCUUGGUCACGUCCUUGCCCUUGUUGGUGUAGAGGCUGACACCAGGGGGGUCCUGAAUGCAGACCAGGUGUAGUCUCUGGGUCUGCCAGAUGGCCUGCAUUCAGUCUCUGUGGUGCCACACAUCCACAGCCGGACGAUGAGCUCAUCCCACUGGCUGAACAUGGCUGCAAUCUUCCCCUUUCCCAUCAGGGUGCAGCAGUCCCGGUCGACAGAGAGCAGCUUGGGAGGUGCCACUCCAGAUCUACUGUAGCGCUGCCAGGUGGUCGUUACAAUGUAAGGUCACAAUACCUCUUCCUUUCCUUGUCCUCAUAAAGCUCUUUGUAGGUAAGGGACUUGUGGUUCCCAAAGCCAACAAGGCACGAGUCCUCCUGGUCAGGUCGGGUGGGGCAAGGUCCCGUCCCGUACCCUGCGUUCCUCCACUGCCUUCAGGACCUCAGGAAACAGGUUGGUAUACCUGUCCGGAUGGUUGGGAAAAUGUUAUAAAUUGUAUUGUGAUUCUGAAUGAUCUCAUGUUACUAUAUUUUUAUAAGAAAUUACAACUAUUUAAGGAAAAGAGUACCAGUCAAACCGGUCCUUGUUGGCCAUUUCAGGAGACGUGUCUGUGUCCCCCAUCUCCUGCUCUUGCUGGUGAGAAGCCAAGACCAUGACAGCAUAGCUGACAUCAUGGCUUAGCAGCCACUUGAAGGUUUGACCACGGUAUUUACCAAACUGGAGGGCACUCUCACUGUCCACCAGUCGUCUAUCAUCCGGGUCACCCCCUCUGGCUUUAACUUUAACUGAAUACUUAUCAAAUUUCCUGUGUCAAUUAAUAGUGACGUAAAAACAAACAUGUUCUGUCAGCAGCUGCUUUGACCAGCUCUGUGUCUGAUAGAUCUGUUGGUGGCAGUGCUGGUCGAGGGAAAGACACCCCUAUAUCACGUGGAGAGAGAAAGGAUUGUGAGCUACACAGCUUAUCCAAAAGGGUUAGUAUUAUCUUACAUGUGUAACUACACACUCACCUUGAACUGCAAUGAGUUUCUUCAUCUUCGCCUGCAGUUCACCUGGGGCGAGAGAGCGCCUUGAAAGGAACGCAGAGACCGCAGGACCAAGAGGCCUUUGAAAAUGAAACAUAGCGUAAACAGUGGGGAGAACAAGUAUUUGAUACACUGCCGAUUUUACAGGUUUUCCUACUUACAAAGCAUGUAGAGGUCUGUAAUUUUUUAUCAUAGGUACACUUCAACUGUGUGAAACAAGUAGAAUUAUAUUUUCCUUCAAGAUAUGUAACACUUACGUAGCCGCACUCUUGGGCCGGUGUUACUGGCGGGGGUGGUGCUGGCUGGGGCAGGCCUGGCCACAGCAGCUACCCCCUCCUGGUCUCUGCGCUGAAUGUAGUCAAUCAAGGCGGCCAUCGCACUCCCAGGAUAACGGGGUGUCUGCGUCCUCAAGCUCCUGACAUAUCUGUGUGAGACACAGCAGAGGGAACGUUUCAGAUGUAAAAUGUUGCAUAGAACACACUGAGAUGAACAUAGAAAACACAAAAGACGCACAGCACCCAUUACUUUAUCCUGUCUACACCCAUAGCCUCAUACAGGUCCUGCAGUGAGUCCCACUUGUACUUCCUGAUGCCAACAAGCACCUUGCCCUCCUGGCCUGAAAUCAGCACAGGAACCAAUUAACUGUCAGAGCAAAAGAGUUCCAUCUUACAUACAAUGAGGAGAAUCAAACAAACUCACCUGGCUGGGAGGACAGGACUUUAGCUUCCUCGUGCGCCCGGUUGAACCUGACCAUCUCAGCGAAGGCCGGAUAGGCUCACGAGUAGCGAGUUAAGGCGUCCUCACAGGAGGGCCCUGAGCACCAGAAGCAGGGGGUCAGCGGCCACUUUUACUGCCUGGGGUGUGUGGCCGUGAGGACCAACUCCUGUGAGGGCGUGAAACGGAACCUUGGAUUUUCCAUCUUAGGAGACAAGAAAAAUACUAUUAUCAUGACUGAGGAGUGCAGUGACAAGUGACAGCAUAACCAUAUUAGAUACAUAUAAAGGAACUUACGUUUGAUAGGUCUGCUAGGAGGAGGACAGCAGUGGGGGUUAUGGGUAAGAUUAGGGUGAUUAUUAUUUCACAUGCAGUUAAAUGCAGUUUACAUAGAAAGACACGUUUGCCCCAAUGACCAUCAUAUCAUGGUCAUACAAUUCAUUCAACUACAUACACUUCAAACGCAUACCAUCAAAAAACGAAAGAAAAUAGACAAUUAAAUAGUAUAGAAUUCCAACUUUGAGUUGAUAUAGAUGUUAGCUAAGGUUUUACAGGAUUGUCAGUGGUCAAAUAAACUUUGAGUUUUGUCCACCUACAGUAGCUAGCGAUAUACGAACAUUGUUACAUUACACAAUUUGGGUAGCCCCUGUAGUCAAACAAGUCGGUUGGAAGUGUUAUUGUCAUAUUUCAUCACAUUUAGUUGUCAUUUGUUGCAAAUUAAGCACAAUUACCUCAUAUACUCACCGAGUGGCAUCGAUGGCUGACAUAAAAAUAAUUUACAGCCAAUGCUAACCUGCCUGUGCAGCAGCAGGCUACAGUAGCUAGCGAUCUACGAAAGUUAUUAAAUUACAGUUUGGGAAGCCCCUGUAGUCAAACAAAUCGGUUGACUAGACAUGUUAUUGUCAUAUUUCAUCACAUUUAUAGUCUUUGGCAUUACAUUCGUUGCAAAUGAAGCUAAAAUGACCUCAGAUACUCACCGAGUAGCAUCAAUGGCUGACAGAAAAAGAUUUUGUGAUGAAGGGGCGUUAGGAACAUUUCAGAGGAAGAUGAUUGGCUUAAAAACUUUUGGAACAAGCUAGGCUCUUCAUUGGUGGAUUUUUUGCUCUCUUUCUCCAAUUUGAAACAAACUGAAGCAUCUGAUUGGAGGAGAGGACUAAUGGAACAGUAUGGGAAUUUGGAACAUUUGAAACAGACAAAUGCGCAAAUUGCCCAAGGAUACUGCCCAUUCUUCUCUGUCGAAGGAGGAGGGGAAAUGGGGGGGUUUUGCUGGGUGAGAG
ensembl:lncRNA